GAAAUGCGAUAAGUUGUGUGAAUUGCAGAAUUCAGUGAAUAAUCGAAUCUUUGAACGCACAUUGCGCCCCUUGGUAUUCCAUGAGGCAUGCCUGUUCGAGCGUCAUUUGUACCCUCAAGCUCUGCUUGGUGUUGGGUGUUUGUCCCGUCUCCGCGCGUGGACUCGCCCCAAAGUGAUUGGCAGCCGGCGUACUGGUCCCGGAGCGCAGCACAUGUCGCGCAAACGAGUGCCUUGGUACGGCGGCGUCCAUAAGCCCCUCUCUCACGCUCUUGACCUCGGAUCAGUUAGGGAUACCCACUGAACUUAAGC
rnacentral:misc_RNA from 1 species